CAGUUGGAGUGAAUCAAUAUAAAAAUAUAUGUGCAAUUAUCUCUUCUCUUGUUUAAACGUUUCUUUUAUAAAACUUGCAACUGUGUUUUUAUUUCUAAAUACAAGAACCUUUCGCACUAAACGAUUAUUCUUCAAGAAAGGAAGUUCUUACAAACUUUACAGUGUACACUUUGAAUAGCACUUUGAAAGCAACUAUCUUUUAUAAUCAUUUAUUAUGUCGAGCAUCUAA
rnacentral:lncRNA from 1 species